rnacentral:rRNA from 1 species
UACGAAGGGGGCUAGCGUUGUUCGGAAUUACUGGGCGUAAAGCGUGCGCAGGCGGCUUCUCAAGUCAAGGGUGAAAGCCCAGAGCUCAACUCUGGAAUUGCCUUUGAGACUGAGUGGCUUGAGUACGAGAGAGGUGAGUGGAAUUCCCAGUGUAGAGGUGAAAUUCGUAGAUAUCAGGAGGAACACCUGUGGCGAAAGCAGCGCACUGGACCACAACUGACGCUGAGGCGACGAAAGUUAGGGGAGCAAACAGGA